GACGUAGGAUGCGAGCGUUGUCCGGAUUUAUUGGGCGUAAAGAGUUCGUAGGUGGUUUGUUAAGUCUGAUGUUAAAGACUGGGGCUCAACCCCGGGACCGCAUUGGAUACUGGCAGACUGGAGUGCAGUAGAGGCGAGUGGAAUUCCCAGUGUAGCGGUGAAAUGCGUAGAUAUUGGGAAGAACACCAGUGGCGUAAGCGACUCGCUGGGCUGUAACUGACACUGAGGAACGAAAGCCAGGGGAGCGAAUGGG
rnacentral:rRNA from 1 species